rnacentral:rRNA from 1 species
AGCGAACGCCGGCGGCAGGCUUAACACAUGCAAGUCGAGCGGGCAUCUUCGGAUGUCAGCGGCAGACGGGUGAGUAACACGUGGGAACGUACCCUUCGGUUCGGAACAACUCUGGGAAACUGGAGCUAAUACCGGAUACGCCCUUAUGGGGAAAGGUUUACUGCCGAAGGAUCGGCCCGCGUCUGAUUAGCUAGUUGGUGGGGUAACGGCCUACCAAGGCGACGAUCAGUAGCUGGUCUGAGAGGAUGAUCAGCCACACUGGGACUGAGACACGGCCCAGACUCCUACGGGAGGCAGCAGUGGGGAAUAUUGGACAAUGGGCGCAAGCCUGAUCCAGCCAUGCCGCGUGAGUGAUGAAGGCCUUAGGGUUGUAAAGCUCUUUUGUCCGGGACGAUAAUGACGGUACCGGAAGAAUAAGCCCCGGCUAACUUCGUG